rnacentral:rRNA from 1 species
GACAGGAGGGUGCAAACGUUGUUCGGAAUUACUGGGCGUAAAGCGAGUGUAGGCGGUUUGGUAAGUCGGAUGUGAAAGCCCCGGGCUCAACCCGGGAAGUGCACUCGAUACUGCCAAGCUAGAGUAUCGGAGAGGUUGGUGGAAUUCUCGGUGUAGAGGUGAAAUUCGUAGAUAUCGAGAGGAACACCGGUGGCGAAGGCGGCCAACUGGACGAAUACAUGACGCUGGAGGCGACGAAAGCGUGGGGAGCAAACAGG